CUAUUUCCCCAUCUCCUUUCCCCUUGUGAAACCUUUCCUCUUCCUUCCUCCAGAGGCCUUUCCUGUUUUGCAAUGUGAGACUUGCCAUGCCACUGGCAUCAGCUGCACCGGAAAGAAGGAGACUUGCAGGGCUGAUCAACACCUCUGUUUUGUCCUUUCAAGGAAUGCGACAAUAGGAGGGAACAUCGUGCAUUUCAUUCGUAAGGGCUGCACCGCCAGCUGUCAGCUUCCAAAGGACACUAUACCUCAGGCUAGCAGUGUAGAUUCGAAGAUUAACUGCAACAAUAAGGCUGCUCCUUCUUCUGGGUCUUUCGUCUUGGCUACUUUUGGAUUUCUGCUGAUCAAAGUUCUCUUGUAAAUAAUCCUUCCGAUUUAGCAGUGAAUAAAGGCCUCCUUGUUGCUUUCCUGUGA